rnacentral:tRNA from 1 species
GAGGGUGUAGCUCAGUGGUAGAGCACGUGCUUAGCAUGCAUGAGGUCCUAGGUUCAAUCCCCAGUGCCUCCA